CCCUCGAUAGACAUUUGGGUCGUUUCCACCUCUGAGCAACCGUGAAUAGGGCUCCUCUGGGCAUGCGUGUACUAGGAUUUGUUUUAACGCCCACUGAGCUUUAAGGCAGCCCUGGAGGCAUGAGGUUACCGUCCUGGAGCUGCCGGCAGGGGGAAUUGAGUCAAACGCGCGAGGUGACUCGUGCAGGGACCGGAGUUCCCACUCAGAACCCGCAGGCUCACAUGGGUCGGCUCCCGGAGUUGCUCCCAGCAGACCCAGCAUUCAGGCCCCGCCCCUGGCUCGAGGCCCCGCCCCCAGGGGGCUGGGCCCAAUUAGAACCCGGUCAAAGAGUCCCAGGUGUGCUCACCGGUUCGCCCCAGACAGUGAGAAUUGCUGGCAGUCUGGGAUGACCUCAGGCAGGGCUGAGGAGCAGGGAGGAGGAGGGGGGCGCGCCCAGGGGCUGGACCCCGGCAGGUUCCGGUUCAGGCUUAGCUUUCUGAGUGACAGACGGGCAAGUCACUUGCUUCUGAGCCAGCUUCCUCAUCUGAGACUCUGGGACACCUCCCUCCCACAGCCUCAAUGGUCUCCCACCCCUCAAAUGGUCUGAAUUUGGGUCCUGGUCUCCACCUGCUUCCGGCCCUGGGAUUUACCCAGCCCGCCCUGUCCAACUGCGUCAGCCCUUGGCACCUGACCUGGGGCCCGGCUUUGAACCCAUCAGAUUCGGGGUCCCUUCAGAUUCGGGGUCCCUUUGGGCCCAGCGGAUGCACCCACAGCACAAUCACCCAGGCCUCCAAAAUAGCCUCGAGAGGGGGGGACCUGCUUCCGGAUGCCAGAGUCCAGAUGGCCGGUGGCUUGGGCCUCGCUGGCAGGUGUUGGACAAGGGCCCAGGUCCUGGCGACCCCCUCUCCGGCGGCUGCCUCCAGAAGCGGGAAUGAGGAAAGAGCUCUCGGCCUGGGCAAGGCUGCCAGCAAGAGGCUCCAGGCCACAGGAAGGAGGGGACUUCUUCAUUCAUAGCAUGUCCCCAGCACCUAGAUGCUCUGAAGGGCUCAGCAGAGUUAUUGAGUGAAAAUAAGAAGACAUUCAAUAAAUGGUUGUUGAAUUCAAGGUCUGAUUGCACUACUCUUUAUUGGACACUUACUGUAUGCCAGGCACUCCGACCAAUGCUUGUUUCCCAGGGCCCCCCAUCAGCAAGGGAGAUGGAUAGUAAUACAGUCAGCUGCACAAAUGCAAAAUUAUAACUUGGACAAGACCUGCCAAAGGGAGAUACGCAGUGCUAGGACCCCCUGUGUCAGGUCCAGAGGGUCCUGAGUAGGGCUCAGAUGGGCUUUCUGGGGGGUGCCACUUGGUGGGGACCUGGAGGAGGAGAUUCGUAGGUACAAAUGUGGCACAGAGAUUCCUAGAUCAUGGGCACAGAAUGUGCAAAGGUCCUGGGGUGAGAGCGAGCAUAAUUUCAGGGGCUGGCUUCGGGGCACCCCCAGCUCCCUUGGACAAUCUGCAGGCUCCAGCAGAGAGUCAAGGCUCAGUUUAGGAUGGCUGGGGUCGCUUGGCAAGUCAAGCAGGAUGUGAUGCCCUCAACCACCCACAGGGGUAAGGACAAAAGUCCGGGCACAUCUCCAGCCAGGGGGUUGGGGAGGAGCAAAUGAGAUGAGCGGCUCCCAGCACCGCCUCUGCCCUGGAAUCUCCUGAGCCACUUGCCUGCCCAACGCCUCUGCCCUGGAAUCUCCUGAGCCCACUUGCCUGGCUCCUCUCUCACGUUGCCGUAGCCGCCCCCCAGGACACAGAGCAGGAGGAGCAAGACGAGCCCACCAGCCCCUGGGUGGAGUCAGGAGGCGAGGGAGGAGCCCUGGGGUGCUGGGGACUCUCAGGCCUGAGGCCCACAGCUGGGAUGGCAACAACAGCAACCACAGUAACAGUAGCUGCUAAGGCCUAAACGUGCCCAGUUGAGUCCUGCUGGGAGAGACCUCAUUUAGUAGCUACAAAAGCCCCAGCAGGCUGAUCCCAGAAGUAUCCCGUUUUACAGACAGGGAGACAGACUCAGGAGGAUGAAGCCACUGGUGACCCCAGGAUGUGGCAAAUCUUAAUUCGCGCUCCUGUGACACUAACUACCAUGGAAUGGGGGCUUACACGGCGAACAUGUCCUUCUCACAGACCCUGGAGGCUGGGAAGUCCAAGAUCAAGGUGGCGGCAGAUCUGGUGUUUGGUGAGGGCCGAUUCUCGGUCUGUGGACACAUGCCUUCUCUCUUUGUCCUCACGUGGCAGGAAGCAGCAAGAGGAGGCAAGCUCUCUUGUGUCUCUUCUUAUAUUUAAAAAAAAUUUUAAUGUUUUAUUUAUUUUUGAGAGAGAGAGAGAGAGAGAGAGAGAGUGAGCAUGAGCAGGGGAGGGGCAGAGAGAGAAGGAGACACAGGAUCUGAAGCAGGCUCCAGGCUCUGAGCUGUCAGCACAGAGCCUGACGCGGGGCUCGAACCCACAUACCGUGAGAUCAUGACCUGAGCCGAAGCUGGAUGCUUUACCGACUGAGACCUCCAGGCGCCCCAUUUGUGUCUCUUCUUGUAAGUGCACUAACCCCAUUGUGGGGGCUCCACACUUGUGACCUAAUCACCUCCCAAAGGCAUCCCCCCCUUCUAACACCAUCGCAUGGGGGAUCAGGGUUCCAACAUAUGAAUUCUGGAAGGGACACAAGCGUUCAGUCUAGAGCAACACCCAUCUUUUCUUGUUAGCCUCACUUCUGAGGGGCUGGAAUCAGGGCCCCUGGCCCCUGUGGGCCCCUUUGUCUGUAGCCUCAUUAGUACCAGCUAUAAAAUGGGACCAAUUGCCCAUAUCCAUAGGAAGACCUUGACCACAGGCUCCUGAGCCCACUCUGGGCUCAGCCCAGGGGCUCUAUGGCAGAAGGUGUCUCCAUCUCCCGGCUGAAUCUGUAACUCACUGUGUCCAGUUGGUAAAGGCAAAUGUGUACAUCCAGUAUUUGUUACUUACUGUAUACCUGGGGGAGGGAAUUGGCUGCAAAAGGGGCCUGAUGGAGCUUUCUGGGUGAUGGAGAUAUUAAAUCCAGAUUGAUAGUUUCAGGAUGUAUGCAUUUGCCAAAACUCAUCCAACUAUACUCUACUGGGUUUUAUUAUUUAUUUAUUUUUUAUUAAAAUUUUUUAAUGCUCAUUUAUUUUUGAGAGACAGAGCAUGAUCGGGGGAGGAAGAGACAGAGAGGGACACACAGAAUCUGAAGCAGGCUCCAGAUUCUGAGCUGUCAGCACAAAGCCUGACGUGGGGCUCGAACCCAUGAACCGUGAGAUCAUGACCUGAGCCAAAGUUGGACGCUUAACCGACUGAGCCACUCAGGUGCCCCUAUUGGGUUUUACUUUUUAAUGUUUAUUUAUUUAUUUUGAAAGAGAAAGAGAGAGAGAGAGAGAGAGCUCAAGCAGAGGAGGGGCAGAGAGACAGGGAAUCCCAAGCAGGCUUUUUGCUGUCAGCCCGGAGCCCAAUGCGAGGCUCGAUCCCACAAACCACGAGAUCACGACUUGAGCUGAAAUCAAGAGCCGGAUGCUUAACCCACAGAGCCACCCAGGCUCAGUAUGUGAGUUAUGUACUGUAUUCGAUUGUGUGUGAGUUAUGACCUAACAGAGCUGAACUUUAAAAUAGUUAUAUGAGGGGUGCCUGGGUGGCUCAGUCA
ensembl:lncRNA